UCAGCCUCGAUGUGAGAACCUCCUACAUGUUCAGUCUCUGCUUGAACACUUCCACUGAUGGGGAGCUCACCAUUUAUCUUUGGAUAAAGUGUCUGGUCACUGAAGGAAGUAGGGGGAACCUCCAAGAAUUUGUUUGUUUGUUUUGUGGGGGAAGUAAUUAGGUUUUUAUUUAUUUAAUUCCUUUUUUUAAAUGGAAGUACUGAGGAUUGAAUCCAGGACCUUGUGCAUGCUAAGCAUGCACUCUACUACUUGAGCUAUACCCUCCCCCCGAAGAAUGUUUUGUGUGUAUGUGUAUGUGUAUGAAAGAGAGACAGAGAGAGAGGGAAGGGGAGAGAAGGGGAGAGUGAAAAAGAAGCAGGGUAGUCACCUAGAUUUUCACCAUUCCAGUGGAGCCCUGCCUGAAGGACAGUGGGGCCGAUGAGUGCUGACUGGUUGUUCUUAGUUAAGCCGGGGAGAUUUUAUGGUGGGAUGGAGCCUGAUGUCCUUGUUCCAAAGUCCAAGGAUGCAGGGGCAAACUUGCACAGAAUGAGAUCAUGUGAGCCAGCCUUCAAGAACAGAGACUUUGCUUGGCUAGCAGGAUUUAAGCCAUUGCCUUAGUAAGCCCUGGAAACAAGUCAGAUCUACCUUUGGAAGCUCAGUUAGAACCCGAAGACUGCAGACAAGGUACUUUUAAAGGUCUUUAGUGUUUACUAAGCUACCAUUUCAGCAGUGGGUGGCAAGCCUCAUUUGAAGCAAACCAACUUAGUGGUGCCUUGGGCUGCCCCAUUUGUAAGAGGCCAGUGUUCCUUCUCUGCACUGGCCCUGCUUGGAGCGUCGUGUGGACCAUCCUGGCAGGUGCGGAGCCCUGCGAUCACCUGAGAUCUAUAGGCGGACUUCCUCACGGUUUUAGCAUCACUUCCUUGGGCAAGAAGUUACUACGGUUCUGCUUAACCCUGGAAGCAACUUGGAGGACACUGCUUGAACAUCUGGACCUCUCUGGACCUGGGCUUGCUUGCCUAUAAAAGGGGGCUACUUUUCUGAUUUAAGGGAGGUGGCAUAGCCUGAGUUCCUGUUGGAAAUAAAAGCCUUAGGUGGUUGCUUUA